rnacentral:tRNA from 1 species
UACAUACUAGCUCAUCUAGGUAGAGCAUUCGUCUCAUAAACGACUGGUAGCAGGUUCAAAUCCUGCGUAUAAAAC